rnacentral:rRNA from 1 species
CAGUGCUGCAGCUAACGCAUUAAGCACUCCGCCUGGGGAGUACGACCGCAAGGUUGAAACUCAAAGGAAUUGACGGGGGCCCGCACAAGCGGUGGAGCAUGUGGUUUAAUUCGAUGCUACGCGAAGAACCUUACCAGGUCUUGACAUCUUCUGCCAACCUAAGAGAUUAGGCGUUCCCUUCGGGGACAGAAUGACAGGUGGUGCAUGGUUGUCGUCAGCUCGUGUCGUGAGAUGUUGGGUUAAGUCCCGCAACGAGCGCAACCCUUAUUGUUAGUUGCCAGCAUUUAGUUGGGCACUCUAGCAAGACUGCCGGUGACAAACCGGAGGAAGGUGGGGAUGACGUCAAAUCAUCAUGCCCCUUAUGACCUGGGCUACACACGUGCUACAAUGGACGGUACAACGAGUCGCGAAACCGCGAGGUCAAGCUAAUCUCUUAAAGCCGUUCUCAGUUCGGAUUGUAGGCUGCAACUCGCCUACAUGAAGUUGGAAUCGCUAGUAAUCGUGGAUCAGCAUGCCACGGUGAAUACGUUCCCGGGCCUUGUACACACCGCCCGUCACACCAUGAGAGUUUGUAACACCCAAAGCCGGUGAGGUAACCUUCGGGAACCAACCGUCUAAGGUGGGACAGAUGAUUAGGGUGAAGUCGUAACAAGGUAACC